UACGGAGGGUGCAAGCGUUGUUCGGAAUUACUGGGCGUAAAGCGCGUGUAGGCGGCUCUUUAAGUCUGAUGUGAAAGCCCGGGGCUCACCCCCGGAAGUGCAUUGGAUACUGGAAGGCUUGAGUACCGGAGAGGAGGGUGGAAUUCCUGGUGUAGCGGUGAAAUGCGUAGAUAUCAGGAGGAACACCGGUGGCGAAGGCGGCCCUCUGGACGGAUACUGACGCUGAGACGCGAAAGCGUGGGGAGCAAACAGG
rnacentral:rRNA from 1 species